rnacentral:rRNA from 1 species
UACGGAGGGAGCUAGCGUUGUUCGGAAUUACUAGGCGUAAAGCGCACGUAGGCGGCUUUGUAAGUUAGAGGUGAAAGCCUGGAGCUCAACUCCAGAAUUGCCUUUAAGACUGCAUCGCUUGAAUCCAGGAGAGGUGAGUGGAAUUCCGAGUGUAGAGGUGAAAUUCGUAGAUAUUCGGAAGAACACCAGUGGCGAAGGCGGCUCACUGGACGCGUAUUGACGCUGAGGUGCGAAAGCGUGGGGAGCAAACAGG